UACGAAGGGUGCAAGCGUUACUCGGAAUUACUGGGCGUAAAGCGUGCGUAGGCGGUUUGUUAAGUCCGCUGUGAAAGCCCUGGGCUCAACCUGGGAAUUGCAGUGGAUACUGGCAGCUAGAGUGCGGUAGAGAUGGUGGAAUUCCCGGUGUAGCGGUGAAAUGCGUAGAGAUCGGGAGGAACACCCGUGGCGAAGGCGGCCAUCUGGACCAGCACUGACGCUGAGGCA
rnacentral:rRNA from 1 species